rnacentral:misc_RNA from 1 species
GGCUUUUGUGUGCGACUUUUCUGCAGAAUUUGAUGCAGCUCUCAGCUUUCUAAACCUUUGGCUUUUGUUCUGCUGGCAAUUGUUUGCUGUCUUUUGUGAUGCAACUUUGGUGCUGUAUUAUUGGCGUGUUUUGUACCUUUCUUUCUAUGCUUUUUCACUUGGAAUACCAUUGUUGGGUGUAAUAGGGAAGCCUAUCGGAUUGGUUUAA